rnacentral:rRNA from 1 species
UACGGAGGGUGCAAGCGUUGUCCGGAAUUAUUGGGCGUAAAGAGCUCGUAGGCGGUCUGUCGCGUCGGCUGUGAAAACCCGGAGCUCAACUCCGGGCCUGCAGUCGAUACGGGCAAACUGGAGUGUUGCAGGGGAGACUGGAAUUCCUGGUGUAGCGGUGAAAUGCGCAGAUAUCAGGAGGAACACCGGUGGCGAAGGCGGGUCUCUGGGCAACAACUGACGCUGAGGAGCGAAAGCGUGGGGAGCGAACAGG